CUGGAUGACAGGCUUGUGCUGAGACCUGCAGAUCCAGUCGUGGCCGGGCCGCCCUGGAAUUUGCAGUCCUAUGGGGCUGAUAGAGGUGUCGAGGACCUGCGGGCCUCAGAGGUGUUAUUUGCGUUUGUGUCUGUACAUGCAUUACCUGUAUAUAAGGUAAAGCGAUUGUUAACGCGUAUGUGUCUAUAUGUGCGUUACCUGUAUAUAAGGUGAACCGCUUGUUA
rnacentral:lncRNA from 1 species